rnacentral:rRNA from 1 species
AAUCGUCCCCAAAACCGACACAGGUGGUCGGGUAGAGAAUACCAAGGCGCUUGAGAGAACUCGGGUGAAGGAACUAGGCAAAAUGGUACCGUAACUUCGGGAGAAGGUACGCUCUUGAUGGUGAAGUCCCUCGCGGAUGGAGCUGACGAGAGUCGCAGAUACCAGGUGGCUGCAACUGUUUAUUAAAAACACAGCACUGUGCAAAAUCGCAAGAUGACGUAUACGGUGUGACGCCUGCCCGGUGCCGGAAGGUUAAUUGAUGGGGUUAGCGCAAGCGAAGCUCUUGAUCGAAGCCCCGGUAAACGGCGGCCGUAACUAUAACGGUCCUAAGGUAGCGAAAUUCCUUGUCGGGUAAGUUCCGACCUGCACGAAUGGCGUAAUGAUGGCCACGCUGUCUCCACCCGAGACUCAGUGAAAUUGAAAUCGCUGUGAAGAUGCAGUGUACCCGCGGCUAGACGGAAAGACCCCGUGAACCUUUACUACAGCUUGGCACUGAACAUUGAACCUACAUGUGUAGGAUAGGUGGGAGGCUAUGAAGACGUGACGCCAGUUGCGUUGGAGCCGUCCUUGAAAUACCACCCUUGUAUGUUUGAUGUUCUAACUUAGACCCAUUAUCUGGGUUGAGGACAGUGCCUGGUGGGUAGUUUGACUGGGGCGGUCUCCUCCCAAAGAGUAACGGAGGAGCACGAAGGUGGGCUAAUCACGGUUGGACAUCGUGAGGUUAGUGCAAUGGCAUAAGCCCGCUUAACUGCGAGAAUGACGGUUCGAGCAGGUGCGAAAGCAGGUCAUAGUGAUCCGGUGGUUCUGUAUGGAAGGGCCAUCGCUCAACGGAUAAAAGGUACUCCGGGGAUAACAGGCUGAUACCGCCCAAGAGUUCAUAUCGACGGCGGUGUUUGGCACCUCGAUGUCGGCUCAUCACAUCCUGGGGCUGAAGUCGGUCCCAAGGGUAUGGCUGUUCGCCAUUUAAAGUGGUACGCGAGCUGGGUUUAGAACGUCGUGAGACAGUUCGGUCCCUAUCUGCCGUGGGCGUUGGAAGAUUGAAGGGGGCUGCUCCUAGUACGAGAGGACCGGAGUGGACGAACCUCUGGUGUUCGGGUUGUGUCGCCAGACGCAUUGCCCGGUAGCUAAGUUCGGAAUUGAUAAGCGCUGAAAGCAUCUAAGCGCGAAGCGAGCCCUGAGAUGAGUCUUCCCUGACAGUUUAACUGUCCUAAAGGGUUGUUCGAGACUAGAACGUUGAUAGGCAGGGUGUGUAAGCGUUGUGAGGCGUUGAGCUAACCUGUACUAAUUGCCCGUGAGGCUUAACCAU